UAGCUCUCACGGUGCAUCUACCCAAGCAAAAUAAUCUGGGUCCAGUGUGGAGUGUAGUAUUCUGCACCGGCCGUAGAAGCAGUUAUGUUUCCUGCCUCUUUCCCCCUGCAGAAGUGGGAUGAGAUCCUGACCAUCUAGUGGGGUGUAACCCAGUAUGGCCCUGCUGGACAGCCACCCUUACCUUUGUUGUCUGGUCUACAGAGUUCCAAAGAGCUCCUGUCCAUUCAUGGGCUCUUUUGGUGAUACUAGUAAGGGCAACCUCAUGAUUCGGAGAGGAGAUUUAUGAAAGCUGGGGGAGGGGGGACUAUCUCACUCCCCUCUCUGAGUCAGCAAUGGCUCCCAGGAACAUCUCUUUGAACUCUGUGGCCUCUACUAUGACAAAGGUAUAUAUUAUCCCCCGUACCUGUGUCACAAACCGGCACAGCUGUUUAUCUUUAAGUGCGAGGGAGCUCCAGAGCAUUCCAUGACUUUGCCUAAUUUGGGGCCUUGCCCUGUAUUGGGGUCAAGAAGCCAAUUCUUGUUUACCCCACUUUAAACUGGCUAUGUAGCUGUGUCCCCAUUCAUUCCUUUAUUGCAUUCUUUAUUGCAUACUUGGUGAACCUAAAAUCUGUGUUUCUGCAGCUGUCCUUCACCAUCUUCACAUCACUGCCAUUGCUGAAAAAACUUCCAGUUAGGCAGAGGACAAAGAGGAAAAGGGGGAAUGGUCAGGUAUAAAAAUAUUUUCUAGAAAGGAGCUUCAUUGUCAAAGGCUUAGUUAAGACAUGCCUGAAACCUCAAGAAGCACACCCUCUGUUUCCCCUUAAUAUGCAUUUCACAUUUCAGGUAUCUAACUAUCCAUGGCAAAGACUGUCUAUCCUAUUAAUACAGACUCUGUGCAGCAGUUGUUGUUCAGAGAUCCUACAUUUUCACUUGCAUCUAUUAGUGUCAGAGAAACACUACAGAAAUGUUUCUGGGGGGAAAUCAGCAGAUGCCUCCUUCGGGGAGCAGUGUUUAAACAAUGUUAGCUGGGAGUAUUGUGAAAGAGAGGUGAGAUUAGAAUAACUCAAAAUUAAUGAUUUAAGAGUGGAGUAUUUCUUCCUCCAUUCACUGCAGUUAAUUGCCUGGAAGAAAAUGAAAAGCAGAUGCUGCGUGACUUCUUACAUUAUCUCUGCGAAUAUUUCAUAAUAUGUCUUCACUCUACUGCAAAAGCAAAUUCCUUGAUUUCUCCUCUUUCCUUUAUUUCUUUCAAAAAAGAUUCAACAUUCAAAUACUUUUUGUUUUCACAUAGAAAGAAGAUUAGAAGACUAGCAACAUGCAAUGUUUUAAUGUACCUCUAGUGAGCAGAUUUUGUGCUUUUAUGUUUGAUUAUAUUUAUGUUCAUUGUUUAACACUAUGUUCAUUAUAUAUUAUGUUGUAAACUGCUUUAGAUUCCCUAGGGGAAGAAGGCAGUAUAUAAAUGAUGUAAAUAAAUAAAAGCUUAUAAUUUGUUAAAAAGCAUUGAUUAUGACAACUGAGCUAACUGUCCAAGAUUAUGGUAUCAGUUUCUUUUUCUCAUUAAAACAUUUCUUGUCUUGCUUAAGAAGGGUCACUUCUUGGUAGGAUAUUGUUGAGAAAGUAUUUAUUGUAAAUAUAGUUAUCAGCUGAAUAGUUCUCAGUAUUCUCAGAGUUAAGAUUAAGCCAUUCAAGAGUAACAUUAAAGUAGUUGAUUUAUUAUCAGAGAAAAUACAAUUUGGGCUGAAUCCAUACCCUCCAACAUUUCACAAAUGAAGAACUGGGACACGUGUGGCCAAGCAACACAUGUCUCUAUGUAGGUAUCACUGGGCUAAAUUGUUCUGAAGGUAAAAGCAGAGAAGCUCCAUUACUCAUCAUUGUCCUACACUAAUGAGAGACAAACUGCAUACAAUGGGGAAUCUGCUAUGCUUCAAGUGUGAUGUAGAAUACAGUGGGCCCUCUACCUUCACUGGGAUUAGGAUCGCAAGACUUCCAUAAGAGUGACAAAACCAUGAAUUGAAAAAACUGCUUUUUAAAACCCGGUAGAAGUUGAUAAUAGAAUCAAACUAGAGGACCUACAAAUCUACUGGACCAUAAGUAUUUGCCUUCCUAAGGUGGUCCAGUCGUAAGAUCAGGGGGAAUAAAGUGGCACUCACAGGCUGCUUGAGGUUCCCAAAAACCUCUGUAAUGGAAAAGCUAAUUAUAAUGGGGAUUUUGUAAUGGUUUAGUAUUGUUGAUAUUAUGGAAAGGGCAGGCAGGAGUUGUCUAUAUCUGAUUGGUUGAUGCAACGCUGUGGUUACGCAGCCUUUGCAGUAGAAAUGUAUCCCUUUUAGAGCGGCUAGCAAGAAAAAGGGGCGGAGCUAGUUGGGAGGAAAAAGAGGGAGCAGUUUUGAAAUUAUUCAGUCUCUAGCUGGGAGCUAGAGUGGUGUCCUGUUUGUCUUUCAAGAACAGUCUUAAGACACUGUGGUAAGUAAAUAAAAACUGCUUUAUUUCAGCAAAACAUAAAGUACAGCACACCCAGUGGUAUAAUGCAAAAGAAAGCCAGGAAGUCUUACUUCAGACAAAGAAACAGCAAUAAAUCCAGAGCAGGCACACGGAGAGUGAAGGCAUUAGAUUCAGUUUAUUACCAGCAAGAGCUGGCUGCACAUGCUUUGGCUUUUAUAGCCCUGGGUCCCCACACAGCUGCUAGGGCAGUUCCUAAUUACUCAGCUGCAUUUCUGGCAGCUAAUCUAACUGAAUCUAUCUCUGCUCUGUUUCCUUUUGCCUCUCCAGGAAUGAUGGUACUAGCAAAGUCUCCUCCUCAGACUCCAACUCACCCUUAGAUUCUUGAACACUUUCCUGCUCCCCUUCCUCUUCUGAGGAAGAGGAAUUCCUGACAUGUGAAGAGGAUCUUUGUUUAAGAUCAUGGCUUCAAUUGUAGUACUGAAGGAAAAAGAGACUAAUUUGAGUCUAAGUCUUCAGUCAGUUGAAACUGAGAGACAGAGUGUCCUAUGUGUCCUAAGUUUUCAGACAGACUACAGUAUUGAUGGAAAAGAGUGACUAUAAGAUAUAAGUUAUUUGGCUGGAAUGCUGAAGGUAAAUAUGUUGAAGUGGGAAUGAUUGUACAUAGGUUUGUUUAAAUGUAAUUGAGUUAUAGUGAUGCAAUGUGAGCUGGGGAUUGCAUCAUGCACUGUCUGCUGUCCACUAUGCAAGUGUGUAAAGAGUUAACUGAGUGUUGCAUCAUACAGCAGAGGUGUUUAUAUAUAUAGCCUUCUGCUUCCUGUAUUCUCUCUCUGGUUAUCUGCUCUCUGCACUCUGUCUGUAUGUAUAUCGUCUUGUGAGAGUUUUCUGUUCACCAGUAAACCUGUUUAUAGAUAGUUGAAGUCUCCAGCCUCAUUACUGGUACCAGUGCUUCUACGUGAGUCUUCUGCUGCGAGUAUGCUUAUCCAAAAACGCGCUCUGACAGUGGUUAUGGGCCCAGCUUGACCAGUUUGACCAGUUUGCCCAGUUUAACCAGUUUAACCAGUCCCAGCAGGACCAGGCAGAACCCAGAAGGACCAGAGUCUCCAGCUGAACCAGCACCAGAGUCUACUCCAGAACCUGUGACUGUGCCAGAACCAGACCACUUUCCAAUGUACCCAGUAUACUGACAAGUCUGUGUGGAGCCAGAAGUCCGGGUGAGCUGAGUGGUGAGCUGAGCUGUGAGCUGUGUGAAGGAAGCCGUUCCGAAUUAAAGAAGGAGAUGAACCAGUGACACCACUGAUUUAAGGUUCACAAUGCAGUCGGCUGGGUUGCUGGAACUGUUUAGGGGAAACUGUGUUUCUGGGUGCAAAGCCUAUAUAUUUUUUCCUUUUAUAUAAACUAUAAGCACAACAUAAAUGUGCUGGUGAUGAUAAUAAACAAUAUGAGGGUAGAAAUAGCAAAUCAUCCAUAUUCAGAGAGAUAACUGUAGUUGUUUGGCUAUUCUCUGCAUUUGCGAAAUAUCCAUUAAAAAUACAUUUACAUUCUGGA